CGCGUAGGCGGGAUGAUCAGUCAGUGGUGAAAGCUUGAGGCUUAACUUCAGGUCUGCCAUUGAUACUGUCGUUCUUGAGUUCGGAAGAGGGAAGUGGAAUUCCUGGUGUAGCGGUGAAAUGCGUAGAUAUCAGGAAGAACACCGGUGGCGAAGGCGGCUUCCUGGUCCGAUACUGACGCUGAUGCGCGAAAGCGUGGGGAGCAAACA
rnacentral:rRNA from 1 species